rnacentral:tRNA from 1 species
UCCUCGAUAGUAUAGUGGUGAGUAUCUCCGCCUGUCACGCGGGAGACCGGGGUUCAAUUCCCCGUCGGGGAG